CGAUUGGUCAGGCUGCCUUCGGGGAUCCCUUGUUAAUUGGGUAUUCACUUUGCCUGGCCUGGUAACCUAGAGUCGGAGCCCCGCCCCUUAGGAGGUGGUAGUGGAGAGUCGGGGGAGUAGGGGAAUCUCUUCCUCCCCGAGUGGUCCUUGAAGAGGAAGGCCCCCACCCCAAAUGUGUGGCCAAGAAAACCAUUCAUGGAUUGAAGGAAUACAGUGUCUCACAAACAGUGGAACAUCGUUCCUGAGAGAUUUGGGUGAGAGUUGUCCCCAGAAUCCAACAAACCAUGAGGUUGGCAGUUCUAAGUGCACUGAAGCACUAAGGACCAGUAUAAUAUUUCACACAGGAAGCCAUCCCACUGACAUUCCAGGAGGACAUGAAAUGAUAUUUUCAGAUAGCUGAUGCCUAUAUACCAGGAAGUUCCCAGCAUUUUAUAGGUAUCAGCUUCUUAAAGCUCACAACAUUCUGUGAGGUACUGUCACUGCCCUCAUCUUAAAGACGAGGAGAUUGAUGUGGAGAGAGAACAUAAGUGGGGAAGCAGCAGAGAGAGAGGGGGACAGAGGAUCUGAAGCCAGUUCUGCGGUGACAGGCUGACAUCAUUGAGCCUGAUGUGGAGCUCGAGAUCACAGACCAUGAGAUCAUGGUCUGAGCUGAAGUUGGAUGCUCGACUGAGCCUCCCAGGUGCCCCUCAACUAAGAAUCAUUAACUUUAGUAUCAUAGAAGGAAUGGAGACAGCUUGGUUCUUGUUCAUUUUUGCUCAUGAAACCUUUCUGUAUACUGGAAGUACAUAAUAGAGGAAAGGCUCAGUGGAAUGGAGGAAGAGAGAUAAUCAUAGAAACCCACAUUGAGCUUAAUGACCCCUGGGAUGCAAUUUGAAGAUGAGUAUUCCAAAUUAUUUUUUCUCUGUCCAGAUGAUAGACUAAUAAGAGAAUCAAUCAGUCAGUCAAUCAAACUCAAUCAAUAAGAACCGAGCAAGGCUCAUCUGAGCAAUGAUGGAUGGUACUUGAAAGUGAAUUAGUGACUGAUUUGGAGAGAUUUCAGAGAGGUAGAGCUAACAGUGGCAAAUCAAGUUAACUUGUAUAUAUUGCUGACAGGAUGUGGGCUGGGCAAUAGCAAAUCCUUUCCAAUAGCCUCCAACUGCUUGUGAAGCUGACCUAGAGGCUGCUUCAGAUAUGAUAGAUUGAAACAAUUCCAUCUGAAAUCAUUUUUUCAGCCUUGUAAUUUUUGUAAUAAUAUGUAUCAAGCUUAGAAAUCUGAAUUUAAGCAUCUGAAUACAUCUGAACAGAGGCAGACAAUUCCCAACAAUGCCUCCAUGACAAUAUGCUGUUGGUUGCUAAUUGGAAAAAAGCACAAGCAGUAAUUAGAAGGCAUUCUGUUGCUUGCUGGAAGGCUUCUCCCCUAAAUGGUUAAAAUAUUCAGCUUUAUAGGGUAACAACCUGAUUUAAAUUUUUGGAGUGUUGUGUUAGCAAUGCAUAUUUACUUUUUUUUUUUUUUUUUUUUUUUUUUUAGUCAUGUAGGAUGUGUGCACCAGCUUAAAAAUCAAGUCAUGCUCCAAAUGGUUACUAAUAUGGCCACUCCUGGGACCUCCUCUUUACUCCCUCUAGAGACGAAAUCCCUCUCGUGUCAAUUCACCUCAAUGCCUAUCUAAGCCACUGCCCUUCCUCCCAGUCCUUUUCAGGCCAUGGUGACAGCAGGCUCUUUUCCCCAGGUGUUGACAAUCAACCCUUCAGCAAGAUGAUUGCCAGACAGAAGAGGAACAUUUUGUAAUGCGUCCUGAAAGAAUGUCAAACCCAGACUUUUAGAAAAUUCAGAAAGAGAAAUUGAGCAUGUGAGCAGGGAAGAUGGGAAGAGGGAUAGAGAGAGAGAAUCCCAAGCAGGCUCCAUCUCUAACAUGGAGCCCUAUGCAGGGCUUGGUUUCACCACUCUGGGAUCAUGACCUGAGCUGGAAUCAAGAGUCAGACACUCAACCGACUGAGCCACUGAGAUACAGAGCAUGAACAGAGGAGGGACAGAGAGAGGGAGACACAGAAUCUGAAGCAGGCUCCAGGUUCUGAGCUGUCAGCACAGAGCCCAACAUGGGGCUUGAACUCAUGGACCGCAAGAUCAUGACCUGAGACGAGAGAGAGACAGAGAAAGACAGAGGCUGAGGAAGGGAAGGCAGAGAGAGAGGGAGACACAGAAUCCAAAGCAGGCUCCAGGCUCGGCGCUAUCAGCACAGAGCUGGACGCAGGGCUCAAAGCCAUGAACCGUGAGAUCAUGACCUGAGUCAAAGUCAGAUGCUUAACUGACUGAGCCACCCAGGCUUCUCUGUGCUAUGAAAGUUUCUCAGACUUUCCUAGUUUUUGAUGACCUGGACGAUUUUGAGGGCGCAUUCUCAUCUUAUUCUGGAUUUAAGGGACAAAAAAUCCAUUAUCUUUUCAAUUUACAUCACAAAGUAGGAAGAACUUGGCUAGAAAUAGCUAAGGUUCUGCUGACAAGAGGAUUUAACUGGGAAUGUGCUCUUGGAAUUUCUGAAUUUGAAGAAGUAUGAUUGCUGAAAGCAUACCAAGUGUUUAAAAGGACUAACUCAUGAGAUGAUAUGAUGCCUGGGCAGCACCAGAAUUGUUAAAAAUGGACUGACAGAAAUGUAUCUGUAGUGACUCUUUUCCUACUUCAGCCUUCAAAGGAACACAGCCACCCAUAUCCAGUCUGUAUCCUGGAAAGACUUAUGACUAACCAAAGAGAUGGGAGACCAUGAAAAGAGUCAGUCAUGGAUUGAAGAGAACAGACAGACAUGGUCUCCCACAGUCUGGAAGUAGUUUUAAUGAAGAACAUGAUCAACCAGAAAGCAGAAGGAGGGUGUGUAGAGGAAAUAGACAAAACAAACAAAGAAGCAAACAAAUGGUACCUGGUUGCAGUCCUGUCUUCGGUUGGCCAAGAAUGUGAAUAAAUGUUAUACGCCUGGAUCAAA